ensembl:lncRNA
AUGCUCAGCGAGGCUGGCUCAGCCUGGGACUUGUCGCCCGGGCUCUGGAAAGUGCUCACCCAUCUCCUCUCUGUGUCAGGACCCUGUGGUUGCUUUCUGUGGAGAGAAGAGGUCGAGGGCACAGCUCUCCUUCCGGUGGCUGACGUGGAUUUGUUUCUCAUCGUCGACGGUGGAGAGGGACGUUCAGAAGCCUCAGAGCUCAUCUCAGGGAAGCCGAGAACUUUCGGGCUCCAUCGAGCUCGUUGUCACCGAGGGGCUUUCACGGCUGUGACUCAAGUUGGCCGUGGGAGCUGCAGGCGGCUUGACGAACCCAAUUCCCGUUGGAAGAGCAGAGCCUGGCGGUGGGUCUGUACCUGUGUGCUUAACGCAGCCAGACUGGAGGAAACUGGGUCUCACUGGGCACCGGCACCGACUGACCCACCUCCCCGAGGCUCAGUGCCCCGAAGACUGGCUUCUGGUCCCAAACUCCACAUCCUGCUCCCCUGCGCUCCGCAUGCACCCCCAGGGCUGGGCCAGGGGACACCAUCACCCCUUGGCCAUGCCUUGACUCCACCUCCGUGUGACAGGCCAGGGCGGCAGCUGCAUCCCCAGGAGCCACUCCGGUGUUGGGGUGGCUGUCGGAGACUUCAAGUAAGACAACGAUCGGGAGGUUCUUCUGGACCAUCUUAGUUAGAAAAGCUAGCCACCAUUCUUAAGUGGUGUCCUGUCGUUGAUCAAAGUGAAACAGCAACAUAGGCACAAAUAUCCCCAAUUGCAUCAAACCAGUCAAUCCUAAAGGAAUCAGCCCUGAGUAUUCAAUUGGAAGGACUGAUGCUGAAGCUCCAAUACUUUGGCCACCUGAUUUGAGAAGCCAACUUAUUGGGAAACAUUGAGGGCAGGAGGAGAAGGGGGCAACAGAGGACCAGCUGGUUGGAUGGCAUCACUGGCUCAAUGGACAUGAGUCUGAGCAAACUGGGAGGUGGUGAAGGACGGGGAGCCUGGUGUGCUGCAGUCCAUGGGGUUGCAGAGUCGGACACGACCUAGCAGCUGAACAGCGUCAACCUCAUCAUGUUUGGACAAUAACGAACGUAAGGACAGCCUCUUCCUGGGCAAGUGAGGGAACCCUUCCCUGAGAAGCGGCUGCUCCGCCUGCCCUUGUCCCUCCCUGCGUGGUCACUUGGUUCCGGCGUGGGGGCGGGGGAGCACAAGGGCAUGACUCAGAGUCGGACACGGUGACCGAAGAACAACAAAUCAGGCUGCCGGGUGAUGUGGUGAAGGAUGACUCCUCCCUGUCCUCGUCCUCCGCUGAGCAUCGUCACCGGGGACAUGUUGCCUUUACAAUGACCGACUCCAGCUACAGUUAUUUAAAUAGGUUGACGUGUGGGUUUCUCUGUUUCAGGGGAGUGACCUCACUUUCUAACAACUGGCAAGGUGACCCUUACAACAGGGUAAAUGGCAAACAGUGAAAUCACAAAAAAGUUUUCCUAAGAAAAUACGGACGGAUUCCUUUAAAACCUUGGAGGAGGAGAGGUCUUUCUGAUGGAUGCAAAAGCCAUAAAAUUAAAGACUGAUCAAUUCUACCACGUUGGAGAAAAGCAGAGCAAAACAAACAAGCAAACCUCUAUCAGUUAAACACAAAAGUAUCCGCCUGUCAUAAUACAGGCCAGAGGCUUAUCUUCCCAAUACAUGGAGAAUCCUUUGAGGAAGAAACACCAGCAUGACGAUAGUGGAGAGAUGCAGGCGAAGGGCAGCGCACAGGUGGAGAAACGCCGUUAGAGUAGGAAAAACACCCCUCCACUCCUGCUAAAGAAACUCACGUCAAAACUACCCUGAGAGGACAUUUCUCAGCUGUCGGAUUGGCCAGAACCUGACAGCCGGCUCACACUGUUGUACAGGACUGGAGAGUGAUGAAACAGAACUUAUAUUGUAAGGCGAGACCAGAAAACAUUUGAACACAAACUUCUGUGUGUGCAAGUGUGUUUGGGCCUCCACUCCCUCCCUGAAGUGCCGAGUGCAUCCACGUUGCACGUUAGCCAGAGCUCCUAAAAGAUGGUGGUCCUGCCCCCCCAUAAAGAUCUUUUUUUUUCUUCCUUCUGAAGCUGACAGUGUGACUUCUUAAAGGCACUGUGUUCUUUUCCAGCUCCGAGACGGGGUGACUUGUCGCUGCUCCCGGUGUACGUGGACUUGAGUCCCUGGUGAACUUCACGUACAGGAUCAAUGUGUCGUUUUGAUGUAUGAUCUUUGGUCUGGAAAAGGUGUAUCACCGGGCCUUCGGCUUCUGAGGAUCUGCUUCCUGAGUUGUAAUCCUGUUUGGCUCAAGUAAAAUUCCCUUUUGUAUUUCUUACCUUGAUAGGUCAUCGGAGUUUUGUUGACAAAGAGCAGGCGAAACUGUAUCACCCUGGGAGGGCAGUUUGGCAAAAUCUAUCCAAAGGCCAGAGCUGGCACCUCCGACCUGCCCGCCUGUACUCAGGAUCCGGCCAAAAACACUGACCCAGGAGUGCACAGUCACGCUCCGUGGGUCCCCGGUGCCGACAGACAGGAUCCACUGUGGCCCAGAGGACAGAGAGAGGGUCGGGCGGCUCUGCCCACACGGACUCCAGGGCCUCCUUAGGGCAGUGCCCACUGUCUCUCUUUUCCUUUUUGCUCCCGGGAACACGCUCUUCUCUCCUUGCAGGUUCAUUGAAGACCACCCCCCACCCCCGUUCCUUGUAGGUUGUACCCAUGGCGUCUGGGCAGAGACAGCGUUGAUGGGUGGGGAAGAGCCAUUUUAAUUUUUCAUGCACUGCAGGAGACCUGGGUUGAUCCCUAGAUCGGGAAGAUCCCCUGGAGGACGAAAUGGCAGCCCGAUCCAGUGUUCUUGCCUGGAGAAUCCCAUGGACAGAGGAGCCUGGUGGGCUGCAGUCCACGGAUUUGCAAAAAGUUGGACAUGACUGAGCAACUAAUACACACGUCCGUCCAAAUUGUUGCGGUUUUUUAAAUAAAAAAGAGAAAGAGUUGGCCCA